GGAUAACCUGCCCUUGGUCCGGGCAUAACCCCGGGAAACUUGGGAAUAAUACCGGAUAACGCACAUAUGCUGGAAUGCUUUAUGCGUAAAAUGGAUUCGUCUGCCCAAGGAUGGGUCUGCGGCCUAUCAGGUAGUAGUGGGUGUAAUGUACCUACUAGCCUACAACGGGUACGGGUUGUGAGAGCAAGAGCCCGGAGAUGGAUUCUGAGACAUGAAUCCAGGCCCUACGGGGCGCAGCAGGCGCGAAAACUUUACAAUGCGGGAAACCGUGAUAAGGGGACACCGAGUGCUAGCAUCAUAUGCUGGCUGUCCAGGUGUGUAAAAUACACCUGUUAGCAAGGGCCGGGCAAGACCGGUGCCAGCCGCCGCGGUAACACCGGCGGCCCGAGUGGUGAUCGUGAUUAUUGGGUCUAAAGGGUCCGUAGCCGGUUUGGUCAGUCCUCCGGGAAAUCUGAUAGCUCAACUAUUAGGCUUUCGGGGGAUACUGCCAGACUUGGAACCGGGAGAGGUAAGAGGUACUACAGGGGUAGGAGUGAAAUCUUGUAAUCCCUGUGGGACCACCUGUGGCGAAGGCGUCUUACCAGAACGGGUUCGACGGUGAGGGACGAAAGCUGGGGGCACGAACCGGAUUAGAUACCCGGGUAGUCCCAGCCGUAAACGAUGCUCGCUAGGUGUCAGGCAUGGCGCGACCGUGUCUGGUGCCGCAGGGAAGCCRUGAAGCGAGCCACCUGGCAAGUACGGCCGCAAGGCUGAAACUUAA
rnacentral:rRNA from 1 species